GAAAUGCGAUAAGUAAUGUGAAUUGCAGAAUUCGGUGAAUCAUCGAAUCUUUGAACGCACAUUGCGCCCCUUGGUAUUCCAUGGGGCAUGCCUGUUCGAGCGUCAUUUGUACCCUCAAGCUCUGCUUGGUGUUGGGUGUUUGUCCCGUCUCCGCGCGUGGACUCGCCCCAAAGUGAUUGGCAGCCGGCGUACUGGUCCCGGAGCGCAGCACAUGUCGCGCAAACGAGUGCCUUGGUACGGCGGCGUCCAUAAGCCCCUCUCUCACGCUCUUGACCUCGGAUCAGGUAGGGAUACCCGCUGAACUUAAGC
rnacentral:misc_RNA from 1 species